rnacentral:rRNA from 1 species
UAGGGAAUCUUCGGCAAUGGACGAAAGUCUGACCGAGCAACGCCGCGUGAGUGAAGAAGGUUUUCGGAUCGUAAAACUCUGUUGUUAGAGAAGAACAAGGACGUUAGUAACUGAACGUCCCCUGACGGUAUCUAACCAGAAAGCCACGGCUAACUACGUGCCAGCAGCCGCGGUAAUACGUAGGUGGCAAGCUUUGUCCGGAUUUAUUGGGCGUAAAGCGAGCGCAGGCGGUUUCUUAAGUCUGAUGUGAAAGCCCCCGGCUCAACCGGGGAGGGUCAUUGGAAACUGGGGGACUUGAGUGCAGAAGAGGAGAGUGGAAUUCCAUGUGUAGCGGUGAAAUGCGUAGAUAUAUGGAGGAACACCAGUGGCGAAGGCGGCUCUCUGGUCUGUAACUGACGCUGAGGCUCGAAAGCGUGGGGAGCAAACAGG